rnacentral:rRNA from 1 species
UACGUAGGGUCCGAGCGUUGUCCGGAAUUACUGGGCGUAAAGCGCACGUAGGCGGAUCGUUAAGUCGGGGGUGAAAUCCUGGAGCUCAACUCCAGAACUGCCUUCGAUACUGGCGCUCUUGAGUCCGGAAGAGGUGAGUGGAACUCCUAGUGUAGAGGUGGAAUUCGUAGAUAUUAGGAAGAACACCAGUGGCGAAGGCGGCUCACUGGUCCGGUACUGACGCUGAGGUGCGAAAGCGUGGGGAGCAAACAGG